rnacentral:rRNA from 1 species
UGAUCCUGCCAGUAGUCAUAUGCUUGUUUCAAGGACUAAGCCAUGCAAGUCUCAGAAUAAAUGGAUCACAGUGAGUCUGCAGACAGCUCAUUAAAUCAGCUACAAUCUACGCCGAGAAACUGCCUUAUGGCAGACUAUUGGAUAACUUUGGUAACCCCAAAGCUAAUACAUGUCAGCAAGACCCGCACAGAUUCCACCCUGGGGCUUCGGUUCCGGGGCUGUGUUGGGUGCAAUUGACCGAAUCAAAAACCAACGCUAGCAAUAGCAGCGGUGAUUGGAUGACUCAGGUUAAUCGAGUAGUAGCGCAUACUUCGGUGGCGCUAGUCGGCAUGAGCAUCUGCCCUAUCAGCUUUUGACGGUAGUGUAGUGGACUACCGUGGCAUUUACGGUUAACGGGGAAUUAGGGUUCGAUUCCGGGAGAGGGGAGCCUGAGAAACGGGCUACCACAACUAAGGUUGGCAGCAGGCGCGCAAAUUGCCCAAUAGCAACACAUCGCUGAGGCAGCGAAGAGAAAAUAGCAACUUCAUGUGCCCUGCCAUGUGAAGAUUGCCAUGGACGAUAUCUAAAACCCUGUCGGUGAGUAUCGAAAUUGGUGGGCUAAAGGUCU